rnacentral:rRNA from 1 species
GCCGACCGCUCACUACGCGAUGGGCGGGCGCCCGGUUACAUUCCGAACCCGGAAGCUAAGCCUCACAGCGCCGAUGGUACUGCAGGGGGGACCCUGUGGGAGAGUAGGACACCGCCGGAC